AUUCUACCAUCAGGACCAUAGAACACCACCACCGCACCGCACACAGCACAGGAAUCCUUCCUACCAGUGGCCAGGACAAGAGCCGGUUGAAUGAUGUCAAUAGUUUCCGAACAGAACUUCUCUAAGGCCAGCGCUCUGCCUGGAUCUUGAAAUCUGCUCAGGUGAAUGUCGGAUAUCUGUCAAAAGCAGGCAUUGGACAGACACGUUAUCUGAGUCAGGAAGAGCCGCACCGACACGGGUGGCCCGUCAGCUCUCGGGGAGCGGAAGGGAAAGAAAAAGAUGCCCUAACGAACCCCGGGGAAGGAGAGCCGAGCCUCCCGGCGGACUGCGACCGAGGCCCCCUGCUGGGCGAGCCCGCCCCGCGCUGUGCCCUCCCCUGGCCUCCCGCCACUUCACCUGCAGCCCCCAGAAGAUGUUGUUGGCUUCCGAGCCCGGGGCGGGGUGCGGCCUCUGGGAGCCUCUGGGCUUCGGCAGCGGCGUAGUCGGCCCAGCCAGGCCGUAGUGCUCCAACAGCAGGGCGGCCACCGCGGCCGCCGCCAGCCCUGCCACCACCCGGACCGCCAGCAUUCUCGCCAUCUCGGCGCAGCCCCGGAGCGCUCCGGCCCGCACUUCCGGCCUCUGUGGCCUCCCGCCGCCUCCGCAACUCGCCUCAGCCCAGGCCUCCGCGCCGCGGCAGCCCGGUUGCCCGGCGUUUGACAACCUAGUGAGGACCAGGAAGAGCCAAGCGAGGGGGUGGCAGGGAGGCAGCUCGCCACCUGGCUCCACCAGGGUCUGGCAUCCCUGACCGUGGUGCGACCUCAGCACCUGUAAAGCGAAGUUAAUGACACCUUGCGUGCGUGCGGGGUGCUUGUGAGAAUCAAAGUGAGUAUCAGGACGCCUCUUAAAGUACAAAUGCGACGGGCGGCUCACUCUGGCUCCUUCACGAAUAACAUAACCCCACAGGAUUCCUUAUCUUGUGGAAAUUAUCUUUUUCCUUAAUCUGAUUUUAUAUGUACUUGUUAUGGUAUUGUGGCACUGUAGUAUACUUGUAAAUUAACUUUUUCUAUUGCCUGAAGCAGAAUUAGAGUCUAGUCGUGGCCUUAAUUUAUCAAACCUACUUCUUUAUUGUUGGCUUUCAACUCUUUAAUAUGUGUUGCUAUUAAGAAUAAACAUUUUUAU
rnacentral:lncRNA from 1 species